rnacentral:rRNA from 17 species
CUGCCCGGUGCUGGAAGGUUAAGAGGAGAGGUUAGCGCAAGCGAAGCUUUGAAUUUAAGCCCCAGUAAACGGCGGCCGUAACAAUAACGGUCCUAAGGUAGCGAAAUUCCUUGUCGGGUAAGUUCCGACCCGCACGAAAGGCGUAAUGAUUUGAGCGCUGUCUCGACAAUGCAUCCGGUGAAAUUGAAGUACCAGUGAAGAUGCUGGUUACCUGCGCCAGGACGGAAAGACCCCAUGGAGCUUUACUCCAGUUUGGUACUGGGGUCCGGCAGUGCAUGUACAGGAUAGGUGGGAGGCUGAGAAACGGUAACGUCAGUUGCCGCGGAGCCGCUGGUGGGA